CGUAGGUAUUUAUCAAUAUUUUGAAAAACAUUUUUGCAGCAAUAAGAUUCAGCUGUCAGUUUCAGGCCGUGUUCGGUUCUUACUAUUUCUGAACUCAUUUUUUUAACUUCAUUGUUUCAUAUACAAAAAAAAUAAAUAAAAGACAUAAUAAUUUUCAUUAACAUAGCGCGAUCUUAAUUUUUUUUUCAUUUUUUAACAGAUUUUGUUGUUUUAACUUAAUAGCCAUAUUUUUUACUUAUUAAAACCGUACCGUAACAGCCUGUGAAUGUCCCACUGCUGGGCUAAAGGCCUCCUCUCCUCUUUUUGAGGAGAAGGUUUAAACUUAUUAAAAGAAAACAAUUAUUUUCACUACUUAUAGGUAAAAUGGUGUUGUUAAUUACGAAACAAAGAUAUUAUUAUUGUUUAGAUGGAAUUGAAACGGAUAGAUUGAAACAAUCUAGGAUAAUAUUUUAGACGUUGCCUUUUCCGAAAUCACCUAACGUUUUUGAUGCUAACAAAAAAAUCAGACUAGAUUCGUCCAAGAGACUUCCGAGUCGUAAUAUUAACUCGUAACAGAUAUAUUCGAACCAAACUUUCAUAGGAUUUUACAGGGAGGAAGCAGUUAUAUAAAUGAUAAAAAGGAGUAAAGACGAUCUGUGGA